rnacentral:rRNA from 1 species
UACGUAGGGGGCAAGCGUUGUCCGGAAUUAUUGGGCGUAAAGAGCGUGUAGGCGGUCCGGUAAGUCAGCUGUGAAAGUCAAGGGCUCAACCCUUGAAAGCCGGUUGAUACUGUCGGGCUAGAGUCCGGAAGAGGCGAGUGGAAUUCCCGGUGUAGCGGUGAAAUGCGCAGAUAUCGGGAGGAACACCAAUGGCGAAGGCAGCUCGCUGGGACGGUACUGACGCUGAGACGCGAAAGCGUGGGAGCAAACAGG